AGCAGCGUGGCUCAGUGGAAAAAGCCUGGGCUUGGGAGCCAGAGGUCAUGGGUUCGAAUCCCGGCUCUGCCA
rfam:Ornithorhynchus anatinus chromosome 2, whole genome shotgun sequence.